GAGGAAAGAGGGGGGCGUGCUUAACACAUGCAAGUCGAACGGGAAACCUUUUAUUGAAGCUUCGGCAGAUUUAGCUGGUUUCUAGUGGCGGACGGGUGAGUAACGCGUGGGUAACCUGCCUUAUACAGGGGGAUAACAGUCAGAAAUGGCUGCUAAUACCGCAUAAGCGCACAGAGCUGCAUGGCUCAGUGUGAAAAACUCCGGUGGUAUAAGAUGGACCCGCGUUGGAUUAGCUGGUUGGUGGGGUAACGGCCCACCAAGGCGACGAUCCAUAGCCGGCCUGAGAGGGUGAACGGCCACAUUGGGACUGAGACACGGCCCAGACUCCUACGGGAGGCAGCAGUGGGGAAUAUUGCACAAUGGGGGAAACCCUGAUGCAGCGACGCCGCGUGAAGGAAGAAGUAUCUCGGUAUGUAAACUUCUAUCAGCAGGGAAGAUAAUGACGGUACCUGACGAAGAAGCCCCGGCUAACUACGUG
rnacentral:rRNA from 1 species